CAUUAACCCGAAAGAAUCUCCUUAUAAUUGAGUGUGCAGUAAAGGGGGUUGUUACACCAAAUCCCUCUGGUGAAGCUCUAUCCAACUGCUUGUUAAUAGCGGAUUGGGUAUUGGUCGAUCGAAAGCUGUGAUACGCAAAAUCCUCAGCAGAAUGAAAUGCGGACUACAAUUAAGUUAGUUGAAAAAGAGAGUAAGGAAUGGGACCGUCAACAGGAACUCUUGAAUUGAGGGUUUUUCACACUACCUAUAGAGAGAUUGAACCAACACGGUGCCCACGGUAACUCCUCCACCCGUACUGUUUGCUUUCGUGGGGCUUUGCUGCGCUUUGGAUCUUAUCAGGUGGCAACCACCUUCGGUUCUAGACUCUGGCACUUCCCCUGGCUGUGGCACUUUCACUGCCGCCUACUCCUACUAUUGGGUCGGUUGUGGUUGGUGUUUUUAUUCAAAAGUGGAGAAUAGAUUGUUCAUUGCGAAGGAAAUCAGAAAUCUACAUACAAGGGUCANNNNNNNNNNAUAUAGCUGUUUUGCCUUCUUUCUUGGACUCUCAGGUGAGCGCUUAGGCCAAGCCACAAUUACCAAGGCAUGAUUGAAUCCGCCAAAGAGAAGGGAAUAGAUGAUCUCACUGGAAAAAGUUGCGUAACCCCCCCCCCCCGUUUUUUUGGCAUGAUUUCAAGAUUUUGACCUGAUUUAUGAGAAAAGAACUUAGUUUUGCAUUAACCCGAAAGAAUCUCCUUAUAAUUGAGUGUGCAGUAAAGGGGGUUGUUACACCAAAUCCCUCUGGUGAAGCUCUAUCCAACUGCUUGUUAAUAGCGGAUUGGGUAUUGGUCGAUCAAAAGCUGUGAUACGCAAAAUCCUCAGCAGAAUGAAAUGCGGACUACAAUUAAGUUAGUUGAAAAAGAGAGUAAGGAAUGGGACCGUCAACAGGAACUCUUGAAUUGAGGGUUUUUCACACUACCUAUAGAGAGAUUGAACCAACACGGUGCCCACGGUAACUCCUCCACCCGUACUGUUUGCUUUCGUGGGGCUUUGCUACGCUUUGGAUCUUAUCAGGUGGCAACCACCUUCGGUUCUAGACUCUGGCACUUCCCCUGGCUGUGGCACUUUCACUGCCGCCUACUCCUACUAUUGGGUCGGUUGUGGUUGGUGUUUUGAUUCAAAAGUGGAGAAUAGAUUGUUCAUUGCGAAGGAAAUCAGAAAUCUACAUACAAGGGUCAAGAUGUAAGCUCAAGUUAAGUGGACGGGUCCAAAGAUCAGGGAAAAGGGUAGACCGGGACAUGGUUGCAAGGGCUAUAUAUCUAUAUAGUUACAAAUGAAUGAAAACGCCAUGCUUAAAGCCAAAAGAAUAAGCUCUUGAUACGGAUCUCUUUCAUCUUGUAAAUAAAGUAGGGGCGUCCCUAACUACAGCUUCCUACCAUAAGUAAGACAUUCAGCUAAUACUGAAGAAAUCUUCUUCUGGGGACACCUCUCUAAAAUAAGAAUGAUGGUGUUUUAAAUCUUAUUCGUUUUCUGAUCGAGAAAUGCGAGAAUGUAGUUAUUUUUAUGAAACCGGAUAUUCAACAUGCUUUCCUCGACCAGAUCUAUUUACGGGAGUCGUAUUUCGAACUGACCCCGGGUCUGAUCUAGAAAUGGUAAAUCCUAUUUGAUCUUCAAGGUUAAGUACUUCUGCGAGACUAUCAGCAUCUUAUCUGGUUGAUAGCACUCAACCCACUGACUAUACGUUUUAUAUGGGAGCCCUAACUCCACCAU
rnacentral:lncRNA from 1 species